rnacentral:rRNA from 1 species
GGAAAAAUUUAUUGCUAUUAGAUGAGCCUAUAUUAGAUUAGCUAGUUGGUGGAGUAAUAGCCUACCAAGGCAAUGAUCUAUAGCUGAUCUGAGAGGAUGAUCAGCCACACUGGAACUGAGAUACGGUCCAGACUCCUACGGGAGGCAGCAGUGGGGAAUAUUGGACAAUGGGCGAAAGCCUGAUCCAGCCAUGCCGCAUGAGUGAAGAAGGCCUUUGGGUUGUAAAGCUCUUUUAGUGAGGAAGAUAAUGACGGUACUCACAGAAGAAGUCCUGGCUAACUCCGUGCCAGCAGCCGCGGUAAUACGGAGAGGGCUAGCGUUAUUCGGAAUUAUUGGGCGUAAAGGGCGCGUAGGCUGAUUAAUAAGUUAAAAGUGAAAUCCCGAGGCUUAACCUUGGAAUUGCUUUUAAAACUAUUAAUCUAGAGAUUGAAAGAGGAUAGAGGAAUUCCUGAUGUAGAGGUAAAAUUCGUAAAUAUUAGGAGGAACACCAGUGGCGAAGGCGUCUAUCUGGUUCAAAUCUGACGCUGAAGCGCGAAGGCGUGGGGAGCAAACAGGAUUAGAUACCCUGGUAGUCCACGCUGUAAACGAUGAAUGUUAAAUAUGGGAAGUUUAC